GGGGGGGGGGGGGGGGGGGGGGGGGGGGGGGGGGGGGGGGGCGGGGGGGGGGGGGGGGGGCGGGCGGGUGGGUGAGGCGUGGGGACGUGCCCUUUUCUACGGGAUAGCCUCGGGAAACUGAGGGUAAUCCCGUGUACGCCCUUUUGGGGAAAGAUUUCUCGGCAAAGGAUCGGCCCGCGUUGGAUUAGGUAGUUGGUGGGGUAAUGGCCUACCAAGCCGACGAUCCAUAGCUGGUUUGAGAGGAUGAUCAGCCCCACUGGGCCUGAGACACGGCCCAGACUCCUACGGGAGGCAGCAGUGGGGAAUCUUAGACAAUGGGGGCAACCCUGAUCGAGCCAUGCCGCGUGAGUGAUGAAGGCCUUAGGGUUGUAAAGCUCUUUCAGCUGGGAAGAUAAUGACGGUACCAGCAGAAGAAGCCCCGGCUAACUCCGUG
rnacentral:rRNA from 1 species